rnacentral:rRNA from 1 species
AACGAGCGCUGGCGGCGGGCCUCAUACAUGCAAGUCGAGCGCGAAAGUCCGCAAGGAUGAGUAAAGCGGCGCACGGGUGAGUAACACGUGGGUAAUCUACCUCGAGGAUUGGAAUAACACGUCGAAAGAUGUGCUAAUGCCAAGUAAGCUUCACGAAGCGUAAGGCUUUGUGUCGGAAAGCUGGCGCAAGCAAGCGCCUUGAGAUGAGCCUGCGUUCCAUUAGUUAGUUGGUGAGGUAAUGGCUUACCAAGACUACGAUGGAUAACUGGUCUGAGAGGAUGAUCAGUCACACUGGAACUGAAACACGGUCCAGACUCCUACGGGAGGCAGCAGUAGGGAAUAUUGCGCAAUGGGGGAAACCCUGACGCAGCCACGCCGCGUGGGUGAGGAAGGCCUUCGGGUCGUAAAGCCCUGUCGCCUGGGAAGAAACUACGAGUGGGGAAAGUUCAUUCGUAUUGACGGUACCAGGAGAGGAAGCACCGGCUAACUCUGUGCCAGCAGCCGCGGUAAUACAGAGGGUGCAAGCGUUGUUCGGAAUUACUGGGCGUAAAGCGUUUGUAGGCGGUUCUGAGAGUCCUAGGUGAAAUCCCCGAGCUUAACUCGGGAACUGCCUAGGAGACCUCAG